AACGGAUUCCCUAGUACGGCGAGUGAAGAGGGAAGAAGCCCAAGAUUGAAAGCUGGCGUCUUCGGCGUCCGCAUUGUAAUCUCAAGAAGUGUUUUCCGCUUCGGACCAUGCCUAAGUCCCUUGGAAAAGGGCAUCAUAGAGGGUGAUAAUCCCGUACAUGGCAUGGAGCGCCCGAAGCUUUGUGAUACGCUUUCUAAGAGUCGAGUUGUUUGGGAAUGCAGCUCAAAAUGGGUGGUAAAUGCCAUCUAAGGCUAAAUAUUGGGGAGAGACCGAUAGCGAACAAGUACAGUGAUGGAAAGAUGAAAAGAACUUUGAAAAGAGAGUUAAACAGUACGUGAAAUUGCCAAAAGGGAAGGGUAGGAGGUCAAAUAUGUUUCUUAGGAGCUUGCUCCUAGGCUACAGGCCAACGUCGGUUUUGGGCACUGGAGAAGGGUAAGAGGAACGUGGCACUCUUCGGGGUGUGUUAUAGCCUCUUACUGGAUACAGCGACCGAGACCGAGGACAGCAGCGUACUCGCAAGAGCGGGCCUUCGGGCACCUUUACGCUUAGGGCGUUGGCAUAAUGGCCCUCUACCACCCGUCUUGAUU
rnacentral:rRNA from 1 species